rnacentral:rRNA from 1 species
GAUGAACGCUGGCGGCGUGCCUAAUACAUGCAAGUCGAACGAAGAGAGAAGCUUGCUUCUCUUUUAGUGGCGAACGGGUGAGUAAUACAUAAGCAACCUACCGAUUCGACCGGGAUAACAGUUGGAAACGACUGCUAAUACCGGAUAGGUGCGCGGGGGACAUCCCCUGCACAUUAAAGCUGGGACACAGCACGAAUGGAUGGGCUUAUGGCGCAUUAGUUAGUUGGCGGGGUAACGGCCCACCAAGACGAUGAUGCGUAGCCGACCUGAGAGGGUGACCGGCCACACUGGGACUGAGACACGGCCCAGACUCCUACGGGAGGCAGCAGUAGGGAAUUUUCGGCAAUGGGCGCAAGCCUGACCGAGCAACGCCGCGUGAGUGAAGAAGGCCUUCGGGUUGUAAAGCUCUGUUGUAAGGGAAGAAUGGCCAAGAGAGGGAAUGCUCUUGGAGUGACGGUACCUUACCAGAAAGCCACGGCUAACUACGUGCCAGCCGCCGCCGUAAAAC